rnacentral:RNase_P_RNA from 4 species
CCAGCUGGCCGGGCGGCCGCACCCGCGAAGCCGAAAGGCUGCGGGUGAGGAAAGUCCGGGCUCCAUGGAAACACGGUGCCGGCUAAUGGCCGGCGGGGGCGACCCCAGGGAAAGUGCCACAGAAAGCAAACCGCCGCGAUUUUCGCGGCAAGGGUGAAAGGGUGGGGUAAGAGCCCACCGCGCGGACGGUAACGGACGCGGCAAGGUAAACCCCACCGGGAGCAAAACCGAAUAGGGGUGGCGCGAAGGGCAACCUUCAGGGCUGUUUCCGGCCCAGUCACCCGGGUAGGUUGCGUGAGGCGCAUGGCGACAUGCGCUCAAGAUGAAUGGCCGCCACGUUCCUGCCGCGAGGCAGGGGCCAUACAGAACCCGGCUUACAGGCCGGCUGGCAUU